rnacentral:rRNA from 1 species
AACGAACGCUGGCGGCGCGCUUAACACAUGCAAGUCGAACGAGAAGGCGUAGCAAUACGCUUGUACAGUGGCGAACGGGUGAGGAAUACAUGGGUAACCUACCCUCGAGUGGGGGAUAACCCGCCGAAAGGCGGGCUAAUACCGCGUACGCUUCCGAUCUUGCGGGAUCGGAAGGAAAGCUGCACCAUGGGUGUGGCGCUCAAGGAUGGGCUCAUGUCCUAUCAGCUGUUGGUAGGGUAAUGGCCUACCAAGGCAUCGACGGGUAGCUGGUCUGAGAGGACGAUCAGCCACACUGGCACUGCGACACGGGCCAGACUCCUACGGGAGGCAGCAGUGAGGAAUAUUGCG